CGCCUUGCCAGCCCGCUCAGAAACUCAAAGGAAUUGACGGGGCCCGCACAAGCGGCGGAGCAUGUGGAUUAAUUCGAUGCAACGCGAAGAACCUUACCUGGGUUUGACAUACACCGGAAAACCGUAGAGAUACGGUCCCCCUUGUGGUCGGUGUACAGGUGGUGCAUGACUGUCGUCAGCUCGUGUCGUGAGAUGUUGGGUUAAGUCCCGCAACGAGCGCAACCCUUGUCUUAUGUUGCCAGCACGUGAUGGUGGGGACUCGUAAGAGACUGCCGGGGUCAACUCGGAGGAAGGUGGGGACGACGUCAAGUCAUCAUGCCCCUUAUGUCCAGGGCUUCACACAUGCUACAAUGGCCAGUACAGAGGGCUGCGAGACCGUGAGGUGGAGCGAAUCCCUUAAAGCUGGCCUCAGUUCGGAUCGGGGUCUGCAACUCGACCCCGUGAAGUCGGAGUCGCUAGUAAUCGCAGAUCAGCAACGCUGCGGUGAAUACGUUCCCGGGCCUU
rnacentral:rRNA from 1 species